AUCUAACUGAUGAGUCCGAAAUAGGACGAAACGCGUUUCCUGAAU
rnacentral:hammerhead_ribozyme from 1 species